GCGUGAGUGAAGAAGGCCUUAGGGUUGUAAAGCUCUUUCGCACGUGACGAUGAUGACGGUAACGUGAGAAGAAGCCCCGGCUAACUUCGUGCCAGCAGCCGCGGUAAUACGAAGGGGGCUAGCGUUGUUCGGAAUUACUGGGCGUAAAGCGCGCGUAGGCGGUUGUGUAAGUCAGAGGUGAAAUCCCAGAGCUUAACUCUGGAACGGCCUUUGAGACUGCAUAGCUAGAGAACGGAAGAGGUGAGUGGAAUUCCCAGUGUAGAGGUGAAAUUCGU
rnacentral:rRNA from 1 species